AUCGCUGACAGUCAUAAAUCCUCCUGGUGUUUUUACAGGUUCUGCUUCAGGGACCUUUGGACUUUGAGCAGGAACUCAGAUGCUGGUUCUGAUGCCAGGAAUGAGAAAUGAGCCGCAGUUUCUGACGGGCCGACGCCGGAUUCUCCUUCAGGUCUUUUCUCCCUCAGGAAAAUAAAAGAGCUGAUCUCUCACCUCAGGAACAGAAGCAUGUUAGAGGAACAGACACUUAGAGAUCUCUGGAGAGGAAAAGGUUUGGCAGCCAGAGAUUCUGCUGCUUCGCACAAAACAGCCUGAAAAAUAAAGAAACAGCAACACAAAGGAACCAGAGCACGGUCCUUUCAAAACGUGUUUCAGACAGGAAGAUCAGUGCUGGGACACCAUCAGAUAUUUACUUCAUUUAUAAAGUAAAUAUCAGCUUGAAUUGGUAAAACAUAAAAGAGAAAGAAACAGCAGCGCAUCGGUUCAAAUGAUCAGAUUCAGAAAUCCUAAUUUAUACUGAGUGGAGAGACUCACAUACUGCAGUUUUCCUGUUGAGUCGAUGAAAAUGUGAGAUCAAACCUUCCAGCUUCCCUCCUGCCUCAGUUUUCCUCUGCUGACAUGAAGAUUGGCUGAUUUCCAGAAGUGACCGUGCAGAGGGACGCUUUCCGCCAUCGUGUCAGAAGUGAAACAAAACCUUCUGCUGAAUGAAACAUGAGGCGUUUCAGAGAGAAGCAAAUAAAAGUCAGAUUUCUCUGAUUCAGCUGGCAGCGUUUUUACACUCCUGUCUUUUUAUCAUCGUUUGUGAAGCUUCUGAGAACCAGGAUUCUGAUUUAUAAUUUACAGCUUCAGUUGGAACGCUGCGAGAAGAAAUCAUGUUUCUGUUUUAUGUAUUUUCUGCUCAGACUCUGUAAUUUUCUGCCACCAGGACACUUUGGUUCUUCAGGACGUUAAUCUGAGUGGUGCAAACUCGUCCUCCAUGUCAGCUGGUAAUGAAGUGAGAGAACGGCCCAGUCCAAUCAAAUAAACAUCAGCGGAGUGGAGGGAAGCCUGAUGGCUCUGAUUAGACACUGGAUGCAUUAACAGGAUUGUUUUCAGAAACCGAGCUUUGAUAUCCGGAUGGAAGCAGCGUUUCCUUUCACCGUGAAACCAUGACAGAACCCUUUCAUCAAGCUGAGCUCUGAGCUGUUCAUGAUGACCGAACGACGCCGCUGCCAUCUCCCCUCCAGCCGGUUCCACUUCCUGUGGGGAACUUUAAGGGUUAGCAUGGAGGCGUGUGGAGUCUGAAUGCAGCUCUUCAGGUUUCAUUCAGUUGAGUUUUGGAUGGUCUGGAUUUUAUGGGAGGUCCAGAGAUUUCAUGAAUGAUGGACUGAAGAGACUCUUCUUCUCUCUGAAGCUUUUCCUUCCUGGUGUUUAGUGACACAAACCGUCUGAUUAAUAAAACUAAAUAAUCUGAAGCUAAGCUGUUUGUCUGAUAUUCUAAAGUUUCCAUCAUUUUUGCUGAGUUUCUGUUUCUGGUUGUGUCGUCUUCCUGCUGGUUUCAGUCGUACCUGUGAAGUUUCCUCCUGGAAGAAGAGUUUCUGCAGAAUCGAGGAGCCGUCUGGUCCGUCUGGUCCGUCUGCGGCUGGCAGGCUGACAUCUGGGCCGAUCACAGCGCCGCCAUCCAUGACACGCUGCUGCGAACUGUCACUGGACCAGAUGGUUUAUCAAGUCAAAGCUGGAGAGGAAAAACAGACAAGAAGACAAACAAACAGCCAUCAGAGUGUUGGCAUCCCUCUGACUCCUGCUUCCUCUGAAACUCAGGACAGGAAACCGGAUUUCUGGUUUUGUUCCUCAGUCGUGAGGACGUCUCCUUCCAGAGCAGCAAAUGUUUUAUUCUGUUUCAGACGGAGAGAAGGAGCACCGCCCUCCUCAGAGAAACACUUUGCUUCCUUUCUAAUGAUUCAGAGUGAAGCCAUAGAAACUGAGCGCAUCGCCCACAGGGAGGCUGGGAUUCCCGGCCAUUAUGGGCUGCAGCAGGAAGCCAGAGGCCAGCCGCUUUCUGCUCCUUUAAAUAUGAAUUUUUUAAAGUUUUCCUGGAAUCAAAGGCUUCUGAUCUCUUCUUUCAGAAACUCACAAAUACUGUUUUCUCCAUAAAAAUCUGCCUUAUUGGCACAGAAACCAAAGAAAUGUUGAAAUAUUUCAUCACCGCUGCGUCCAAUAAAAACCAUCCUGAUGCUGAAA